rnacentral:lncRNA from 14 species
AUGUUAUUUAGACAUCCACAGCAUUUUAUUAGAAAUCAACAUUCCUGUGACAAGUUUGCAGGAUAUUAUACUUUUGAGUGAUAACAUCUCUCAAAAUUUAAGUUUGAACUGCAACUCUUUCUGGGAACAGGAAAUCAGUAUAAUUUUAGACUACUCUGG